ACAAAAAAAAAAGCCAUUUACAAAUUAAAUCUAUAAGAUACCUUUGUUUUUUUUAGUAAAAUAUUAAUUAAAGGAAACAAAAUGAAACAAAGGUAAAUAGCUUUUUGAAAAAUAGAAAAAAGAAAAAUUCAAAAGACAUGAAUUCAGCAAAAAAAGUUUAUCAAAUUAAAAUAAAAUAAAAGAGAAAUAAUUUCAAUAAAAAAAACAAGGAAGUCUCAAUGAGCUUGAAAUUCUAAAAUAAUAAAAGGAAAAAACUUGACAAGAAAAUUAUUGUGAAAUUAGAUUAUCAUUAAAUCAAAAUAUACCAUAUUGAAUGAAAAGUAUUCGCUUUUUAAUUUUAAAUUAAAGGGAGCUCGAACAUCACACGGAAUAAUAGCAAAGACACGAUAAUGAUGAAGAAAAUGCAAUUUUGUGUAUUUUAUAAUUUUUAAUACUUUUAAUUUUAAAUUUUUAAUUACAAAAGAAAUUCAUUACAUAAAAAGUUUUAAUAUUAAUCUUUUUCUUUCUAUAUUGUUUGAUAUAAUAUCAAUUAAAUUAUAGAAAUUAUUAAAAGAUUAAAUACCAUAAAAGUAAAAGACUGAGUUAAAAAAGUUUUAGAAAAAAAAAUUGGAUAAAAUUCCAUAAUUGGAAAAAUUUUCAUAAACCGUUCGCUGUUUUACUUUUAAUACUAAAAAACAGGAUUUAAAAAACUUAAAAAAUAGAAAUUUAAUAAGAAACAAUUUACGGAAAUUCAUAAAAUUCAUAGCUACAUAAUAUAAAAACUGUAAUUUGUUGGUUUUUCUCCUUUUUUUUGUGUUUUAAAUUUUAUAUAUUUAUAUUUCAUUUUCU